UGUUUGUUUGUUUCUUUCUUUGGUUUUUUUUUCUUUCUUUCUUUCCAUUUUCUUAUUCUUUACUGCAUUUUUCUAAAUGAAUUGAAGAAUGUCGCGGAAGAACUGUAUUUUCAUUGAAUCAUUAAUGCAUUUUAUUUAUUUUAUCUUAUUUUAUUUCUCAAGAAUGAUGAUAAAGAAGAAGAAGCAAGGAAGAAAA
rnacentral:ribozyme from 14 species